rnacentral:rRNA from 1 species
AUUGAACGCUGGCGGCAGGCCUAACACAUGCAAGUCGAACGAGUGGCGGACGGGUGAGUAAUGUCUGGGAAACUGCCCGAUGGAGGGGGAUAACUACUGGAAACGGUAGCUAAUACCGCAUACCAUCGGAUGUGCCCCGAUGGGAUUAGCUAGUAGGUGGGGUAACGGCUCACAUAGGCGACGAUCCCUAGCUGGUCUGAGAGGAUGACCAGCCACACUGGAACUGAGACACAGUCAAGACUCCUACGAGAAGCAGCAGUGGGGAAAAUUGCACAAUGGUCACAAGCCUGCUGCAGCCAUGCAGCGUGUAUGAAGAAGGCCUUCGGGUUGUAAAGUACUUUCAGCGAGGAUGCGGUACUCGCAAAAAAAGCCCCGGCUAACUCCGUGCCAGCAGCCGCGGUAAUAC